AGAAACUAACCAGGAUUCCCCUAGUAACGGCGAGUGAAGUGGGAAGAGCUCAAAAUGUGAAUCUGCAUUUGUAUGAAUGAAUGCCGAGUUGUACUAACCUGUUCAGUGGUAAGGUUUGGCUAAGUCCUCUGGAACGAGGCACCAUAGAGGGUGAUAGUCCCGUCUGCCUGAUCUAUCUGCUAUACGAACAGUGUAACUGAGUCGAGUUGCUUGAGAAUGCAGCUCAAAGUGGGUGGUAAAUUCCAUCUAAGGCUAAAUACUGGUAGGAGACCGAUAGCGUACAAGUACCGUGAGGGAAAGAUGCAAAGAACUUUGAAAAGAGAGUUAAAGAGUACCUGAAACUGUUGAAAGGGAAGCGAAGGGAAGCAGUGCGCAGGUGUGUUAUAUUUCCUGACUACUAAGUUGGGCGCUGUGGCAUGUCGAAGCAGUCAGUGUGGGUUUGGUUUGCUUGAAGCAGUAGUGCUAGAGGUAGCCACUUUUGUGGUGUUAUACUGGUGUUAUUUGCGUAGUGAAUUGGACCGAGGCAAUUGUGUGUGAUGCUGACGAAAUGUUUCUCUUCUCCCCGUCUAGAAACACGGACCAAGGAGUCUAACAUAUGCGCGAGUACAGAGGUGUCAAACCUCGGUGCGUAAUGAAAGUAAUAGUGGUAGUUUUCUCUAUCCGCCGGCCAAAAUGCCUCGGCAUGAAGGUCUGAGUGUGAGCGUAUAUGUUGGGACCCGAAAGAUGGUGAACUAUGCCUGAGUAGGUGAAGCC
rnacentral:rRNA from 1 species